rnacentral:rRNA from 1 species
AUUGAACGCUGGCGGCAUGCUUUACACAUGCAAGUCGAACGGCAGCACGGACUUCGGUCUGGUGGCGAGUGGCGAACGGGUGAGUAAUACAUCGGAACGUGCCCAGUUGUGGGGGAUAACUACUCGAAAGAGUAGCUAAUACCGCAUGAGAACUGAGGUUGAAAGCAGGGGAUCGUAAGACCUUGCGCAACUGGAGCGGCCGAUGGAAGAUUAGGUAGUUGGUGGGAUAAAAGCUUACCAAGCCGACGAUCUGUAGCUGGUCUGAGAGGACGAACCGCCACACUGGGACUGAGACACGGCCCAGACGCCGACGGGAGGCAGCAGUGGGGAAUUUUGGACAAUGGGGGCAACCCUGAUCCAGCCAUUCCGCGUGUGCGAUGAAGGCCUUCGGGUUGUAAAGCGCUUUUGGCAGGAAAGAAAUCGCACGGGAUAACACCCCGUGUGGAUGACGGUACCUGCAGAAUAAGCACCGGCUAACUACGUGCCAGCCGCCGCGGUAAGAC